AUGAAUAUUUGGUUAUAAAGUCAUUUAUAUAGUCACUUCUUUAAGUGACCUAAACAACCAAAACCCUAAUUCAUCACAUACUAUUGAAGGAAAUAUUUUGUCCUAGCUAAGAACAAGUAUGAACAUUUGAAUACAUAUGCUAGCAAUUAACACUUUAAAGUAGUCAUGCAUCCAAAAACAAUUCAUAAAACCCAUGACUUUCAAAGCCUAGUAUAUGGUGAACCAAAAUAAACUCUUUAACAACAUUAAAGAGAAGUAAAGAUUUAGAGUUUCUUUACCCUUGAAGCUCAUCCUUGUUUACACAAGGGAUUCACCCAAGUGGAGGGCCUUCAAGUCACCUCCAUGCUCCUUGAAUCCUCCUUGUGUUUUCCUCCCUUUAGUGCUCCUUUGAAGAUUUGAGGAAAUAAGGAUUUGUUCUCCAAAACACCAAAAGCUUGAUGUCUCUAAGUCUCUACACCAAGGAUGUAUUUUGUGAAGAUGAUAUGGAUGACUUUAGGAAGAAGAGAGAUUGCUAGAUGUCCCUUCCUUUAGUGGCUGGCCUCUUGGAAGAAAAUGGAGUAAACGUUUCCCCAAUUUCAACUAGAAAACCCCUUAAUAAAAAUAAAGCUAUAAAAUUCCUUUUAUACUUCAUUUCUUUGGUGAGUGGCAAACUUGCAAUUAAGCAAACUUGCCCAUUCACCCUAAAUGGCCGGCCAUUCUUUGUUAUUGGGAUAAUUUGCCCAUUUUGUUUUAGUUGUCAUACAACUUAAACAUAAUGGGCCUUUUGGACCAAAACGCUUUUGGGCCCCGUAACCCAAAACCAACAUAUAAGCCCAAUACGAACCUUUCGUAUAAUUAAUUAACUAAUUAAUUAAUCUUUACCAUUAUUCAAUUAAACCAUUUAAUUGCUUAUCCAUUUCAUAUAAUUUCUUCACAUACAUCCUUACUCAGUGUACGAUCCAUUAGGUUCCAAUUAGCGAGGCAGUGGGCGAUGUUACUCUUAACGAUCGAUUGUGAAUUGAAACCACAUUUCAAUUCUCCCUUUUUUGUUGAUUAGUGUUUGCUAAACCAAUAGGGCUUCCACAAACCAUGAGUGACGCCUAGCAGCAUAUCAUGGUUACCCAAGCUAAGCAGAAUUGGUUGGAGAACCUAUCCAGUUACAACUACAAUGCAAUACGGUCCUUCUCUAAUACAAUACUCUUAAUCACAUUGUUUAAGUGAUAGUUUUGUUUCAUGUCUACUAUCCAAUGUGAUACUUUCCUAUAUGAUUCCCUUGAAUAUGAUUUGGAACAAACUUCCUAAGUCAUAUUCAUUUGCUUUGGCCAAAGACUUUAGAAUCAUAUCUCAGAGUAUUCUCCCUCCACCAUGGAAGGUUAGAGAUCCCUUGUUGUACAUUCAU
rnacentral:lncRNA from 1 species